AAGUAGUGGUAGCAGCAGUGUAAGGACUUUGGUGGUUUUUCCGCGUAUUAGAAGAAUGAGAGUGGUGGCACUGCAUGAGCAUGGUUGCGCCAUGGCGGUGGAAGUCAUGGAGUCUCCGUCGAUUGCAUGUCACGUCGUUGGUUGAGCCACCGUUACUUUUGAAGCAACCAAAAGACACCAAGAACGACACUUUCCUUCCACCCAUCAUAACAAUUGCAAUUAAUUGUUAUUUUUUAUUAAUUGGUUUAAGAGAUAAUAAAGUAAUUUAUCAGC
rnacentral:sRNA from 1 species